ensembl:lncRNA
UAGUCAUAGUCACGUUCCAUGUUUAGAGUUAGUUCGCGCUGGAUUAUCCGCUUCCAGUUCCUCGUCAUAGUUCGUUUCUCGUUUUGAUUAUCGACCCUGUUUCCCAUGACCACGACCUAGAUUCCAGCCUUGCCCCGUGUAUGUCUGUUUGCCAAUCGCCUGACCUCUUGCAUGUUUGUGGAUUACGUUUUGGAUCACGUUUUGGAUUUGUCUGCCUGCCUCUCUUUCAAAUAAACAACUGUUUAUCCGGCACUUGCAUCCGUCCUAUCUCUGCUCCGUCACGAUUCGUGACAGAAUCUUCCGCCACAACAUGGAUGCAGCACGAGGACGAGAGAGAAGUCACGCCACAGAAACCAGGGAAGUAGUAGGACAAUACCUCAUCGGGGAACGCUCGGAUUACUGGCCGCAUUUUUCGUCCGUGCAAUUUCCCCAAAGGUACGCUGUUGAAUUGCCACCAGAGACAGCGGGAUUGGGGAGCUACCCGCUGGAGUUCCUCUUCAGCUGCCAGGAGUAUUUCUGCAGCUUGGCGUUUCCCAAGCCUACUAAGAGAGAGUGGCUCGGGUUCCUGGUGUCCAGGUUUUGCGGUCCGGCCCGUGACUGGGCGGAGCAGCUGGUGAGUGCUGGGUCGCCAGCCCUCCAUGAUGUCACUCAGUUUGCAGAGCUGUUUAUGGAGGAGUUUUCACAGCCUGGACAACUUUGUGGUCUUGAUUUACUAGGGUGGAGAGUCAAUGGACAGCCCCAGGUGGACCCACCAUUCAACCUCUAUUAUGAGGAGAUGGACAGGGCAGUAACCAGUGAUCCACUUCAGUUUCCAGACAACGCGGGGGCGAAAUCUCCGAGAUGUAUGACCAAGGGCUGCGGGAGAGAGACUCGGCUUCAAUGUCCCACCUGCAAGAAGCUGGGCCUCCAGGAAGCUUUCUUCUGCUCUCAGGAAUGCUUCAAGAGCAGCUGGCGGGAGCAUAAGAAACUCCACCGGAGAGCCCGUGCAGAGACCCAGCCCGGGAUCAACAGGGUGACCUCGGAGCGCCCGUCGGAGGUCAUAGCACCAGAGCUCAACCCUGAGGUCCAAGUCCCAGUCAAGUCUCAAGUCCCUGAAAUCCAAGUCCAAGUCAAGCCUCCAGGCUCUGAGGUCCAAGUCAAGCCUCCAGGCUCUGAGGUCCAAGUCAAGCCUCCAGGCUCUGAGGUCCAAGUCAAGCCUCCAGGCUCUGAGGUCCAAGUCAAGCCUCCAGGCUCUGAGGUCCAAGUCAAGCCUCCAGGCUCUGAGGUCGAAGUCCAAGCCAAGUCUCACGUCCCUGAGGUCCAAGCCAAGUCUCACGUCCCUGAGGUCCAAGCCAAGUCUCACGUCCCUGAGGUCCAAGCCAAGUCUCACGUCCCUGAGGUCCAAGCCAAGUCUCACGUCCCUGAGGUCCAAGCCAAGUCUCACGUCCCUGAGCUCACGUCCAAGCCUGCUGAUCCAGUUGACCAAGCUCUGCUAAUAUCUCAGCCUAAUGACCAAAUGCUGCUCACGCCCAAGUCUACCGACCUGGUCACCCAAGUUCUGCUCACGCCCCAGUCUGCCGGCACGCCCAGCCAAGUUCCGCUCACGCCCCAGUCUGCC